GGACCCGCACAAGCGGUGGAGCAUGUGGUUUAAUUCGAUGCAACGCGAAAAACCUUACCUACUCUUGACAUACUUGGAAGCUCUUGUAAUGAGAGUGUGCCUUUUGGAGCCAAGAUACAGGUGCUGCAUGGCUGUCGUCAGCUCGUGUCGUGAGAUGUUCCGUUAAGUCGGAUAACGAGCGCAACCCUUACUCUUAUUUGCCAGCGAUUCGGUCGGGAACUAUAAGGGACUGCCGGUGAUAAACCGGAGGAAAGGUGAGGACGACGUCAAGUCAUCAUGGCCCUUACGAGUAGGGGCUACACACGUGCUACAAUGGGAAAUACAGACGGACGCUAAGCCGCGAGGUGGUGCU
rnacentral:rRNA from 1 species